rnacentral:rRNA from 1 species
UACGGAGGAUGCGAGCGUUAUCCGGAUUUAUUGGGUUUAAAGGGUGCGCAGGCGGAUUUUUAAGUCAGCGGUCAAAUCGUGGGGCUCAACCCCAUCCAGCCGUUGAAACUGGGGAUCUAGAGUGUGCGAGAGGUAUGCGGAAUGCGUGGUGUAGCGGUGAAAUGCAUAGAUAUCACGCAGAACCCCGAUUGCGAAGGCAGCAUACCGGUGCACAACUGACGCUCAGGCACGAAAGCGUGGGUAUCGAACAG